rnacentral:rRNA from 1 species
UAUUGCACAAUGGGGGAAACCCUGAUGCAGCGACGCCGCGUGAGUGAAGAAGUAUUUCGGUAUGUAACGCUCUAUCAGCAGGGAAGAAAAUGACGGUACCUGAUUAAGAAGCCCCGGCUAACUACGUGCCAGCAGACGCGGUAAUACGUAGGGGGCAAGCGUUCUCCGGAUUUACUGGGUGUAAAGGGAGCGUAGACGGUGAUGCAAGUCAGAAGUGAAAGCCCGGGGCCCAACCCCGGGACUGCUUUGGAAACUGUGCAGCUGGAGUGCAGGAGAGGUAAGUGGAAUUCCUAGUGUAGCGGUGAAAUGCGUAGAUAUUAGGAGGAACACCAGUGGCGAAGGCGGCUUACUGGACUGUAACUGACGUUGAGGCUCGAAAGCGUGGGGAGCAAACAG